rnacentral:lncRNA from 1 species
CAGGCAUGUGCACAUCCAGUCUCUGGAGUUUGCUAAGUUCUGAUCCCCCUCUCCAAUAGCACUGAGCCAUGAAGCUGAAACAGAGCAUGGGAUGGAGGACUCGAGCAGUGAAAUCAACCCUGAAUAUUCAUUGCAGGACCAAUGCUAAAGCUCCAAUACUUUGGUCACCUGAUGUGAAUAGCUGACUCACUGUUAAAGAUCCUGAUGAUUAUGCUGGGAAAGAUUGAAGGCAAAAAGAGAAGAGGGCAGCAGAGGAUGAGAUGGUUGGAUGGCAUCACUGACUCAAUGAGUCUGAGCAAAUUCCAGGAGAUGAUGAUGGACAGAGAAGCCUGGCGUGCUGCAGCUCAUGGGAUCACAAAGAGUUGGACACGACUUAGUGAUUUAACAAUUCCUGUCAAGAAAGACAAAGACACCCACAGCAUGCUGAUUCCGAAGAUUCCCUGCUGCUAAUAACAGAGGAAAUACGGCAAAGAGGAGGAAAUACGGCAAAGAGGGGAAAAUAUUAGACUUUGCCUGGGACGACUUGAAUGAGGGGGAACAGGAGCUGAGUUGGGGAUGGGAGGAGAAUUUGGUUCACAGCAUGUCAAUGAUUCAAUUUCAAAUAGACCCAUUUCAUCUUUUGAAAACACAGCAUUCUCUCUGUGACAAAUAUGGGAUAAUCUCUCCAUAACUCUAAACCAUUUG